AAUUCAUAUAAACAAAUAGUACAACAGACAUGCCAUUCCUUUGAAAACUGGAGAAUAGGAUGUUAAGGUGAUAGCAUCCUAACUUGGUUGUUUAUUUGGAAUCUAUCCAAGCAGAUCAAGGAAUGACAUUAGGCAAGAUAGGGAUGGAGGCACUAGCUUUACGUUCCCAUAAUUAAGUUACAUCAGAUAGAGGUUGCUUAGGAGAGAGCAUUUCUACUUAAAGAAACAGGCCUUGAGAAGUCCAGAGUUUUAACAACUGAAAGGUUUUUCUCAAUUCUUCCUAGACCCCAAGGAUCUGAGAUUUCUACAACUUCACUGAAA
rnacentral:lncRNA from 1 species